rnacentral:misc_RNA from 1 species
UCAUGCAUAGACAGCCAUACACACACACACACACACGCUGAAAACGGAACUUACGGCGCUGCUCUCUGCUCCCUCAUCCGGCUCUCGCCCACGCCGUGCCAUCACAGCCUCCACCUCACUCCCUGUGUGAGCGUAAACGAUGGACCAACUGGCCGUCGACCUGAGCGCCUUGAGGGAGCUUGUGCUUCAGCACCAGCAUCAGCAACGUCUGGCGAACGACACCCAUGUGGGGGUGGACGCCGUGGCAGUGCCGUCCGCGCUGAGCGCGAGCACCAGCGCUGCCACGGUGACGACGACAGCUGACAAGCUGCGACAGUUGCAGCGGGAGCUCGGUGCGCUGACGGAGCAGCUGCAUGCAGAGAAGGCUGCGUCGGCUCAGCGGCUCUUGCAGCAGCGCUGCGACGCGGCCUCGCUGCAAGAACUGCUUGAUCAGGCAGCACGUGCGGAUGAGAAAGUCGCCGACUUGACGUCGCAGCUGACGGAGUGGAAGCGACGGUGUCAGGCAGUCGAAGAGGCCCACGCGGGGUGCACCGGUCAGUACGAGAGUGUGCGGGAGCAGGUGGAGUGCGUGCAACGGCACGCGGCGGAGACGCAGGCGCAGCAUGCGGUUCUCACCGCAAGAGCCACAGAAGCCCAGCGACUCGUGUCGAAGCUGGCAGACGAGAAGGCUCAGCUGCAGGGCACAUUGCGCUCCCGCGACGCCGCCCUGCUGCGGCUCUCUGGGGUCGAACUGGACCGAGAUGAGGCCCGCGCACGUGUGCAGGCCUUCGAGGCGCAGCACGCAGAGUGGGUGGCUGAGGUGUGCGCGUAUCAGCGCUACUUCGACUCCGCGCGUGAAGAGUACGUACGCGGCCUGCGCCACGUUGCCUCAGUGCGUCAGGAGCACGAGGCGCUGAGGGAGGCACUGACACAGAGCGAGGCGCGAUGUGUGCACUGGGAGAAGCUGUUUACGGACCUCAGCGCUGGUGCCUGCGCCGGGUUCGCGGCCACGCCAGCGGACGCAUCGACGGAGGAGGCAGCGGCAGACAUCUCCGGCGCGAGCAGCGCUGUCAUCGCCGUUGGUGUCGCAGAGGAUGGCAGCCCCUCCAGCGGCGGCGGCUGCGACGCGAGUGACUGUUUUGACCAUCCCACCUCCCCAUUUGACGCUGCCUUCGUGCCGCUUCUCGAGACGAAGGUGGCGGAUCUUGCGCUGCGUCUCUGCGACGCCCAGGCCCGCGCCGACGCCGCGGAGCGCACCGCGGAGGACUUAUCUCGCUUGUCCCUGGCAGACUCUACGCUGCUGAUACACCUCAAGUCCCUAGUUUGUGCUCUCCGUCCACAGGUCGAUGGCGUGGCGGAUCACAACGCACAGCUUCAGGCACGUCUGCUGGCCGCUGAGUCCUUCACCGACGCAUUGAUGCAGCACGUGGUGCGGCUCGGUGAGGCGUUUGCCGACGAAGCGAGUCAGCGAUGUUGGCUGACGGCAGCGUCAUCCGCCAGCGCUAUCGGAGGGGGCGGAGGUGUGGACGUGCUAAGCGGUGGCAGCGGUGGUCGUGGCAGCGAGACUACUCUUCCACCAGCGACGCCUCCCUCUGCCCUGACACAAAGUCGACGGCACCGCCUGCGCACAAGAGUUCUGGGCGGGCGGUGAUCGCGAGCAUGGCGCACACGGCCAGGAAAGACGCAUACAGAGAGAUGUCGGUUUGUAAGGUGUGGUGUGUGUGUGUGUGUGUGUGUGUGUGUGUGUGGUGUAUGGUGUGUGUUCGUCGUGUGCACAUGGGUUGUGGUCGCUGCUUCCCUUCUGCUGGUGUUGCUGCUAUGAUGUUUUGUUUGCCGCUCUGUCUAUUCCUCAUGCACAAGACCGACGCGCAUGCGUCCACUCAUCGCAUGGACGAAGAUAGCGAGUGCGAGGUACCGAUGCGGACAUGCUCUCGUAGAGCGUACAGUCUGGACACGGUUGCAUCACGUGCGGUGGGGUCGAACAGGAGAUGAACCGCAGCACGAGCGGGUGCGUGAGAGAAGCAACACGGACGAGGCGGAGGAGAGUAGCAGCGGGAAGGGGAGAAGCGCCUCCUCCUCUCGCCCCGCACCCGACCACCGUGCUGGUGGGUUCGUGUUGCUCUCUGUGCAGCCUGCCCGAUUCUCUCUUCUCUGCUUGAGCCCUCUCAUCUCGUUGGGCUCCGCCGUAACCACGCCGUCCAUCCUUCAUCGCGUCACCACGUUGAUUGGUGGCUUUACGUAAGAACGGUCAUCACCACCACCGCACGCGCGCGCACUCUGUGGUACGGCGUUGCCGCCGCUGCACGAGGAGGAAGCAC